GGUCCCGUAGCUUAGUUGGUAGAGCGCAAGGCUCUCAACCUUGUGGUCGUGGGUUUCGAGCCCCACAGUGAUUU
rfam:Vitis vinifera, whole genome shotgun sequence of line PN40024, unoriented chromosome 17, chr17